rnacentral:tRNA from 1 species
AGGGGUAUGGCAGAAUGGUUUUGCGACUAGCUUGAAACUAGUUUGAUUGGAGUUCGAGUCUCUUUACCCCUU